rnacentral:rRNA from 1 species
GAUGAACGCUAGCGGGAGGCUUAAUACAUGCAAGUCGAACGGUAAGGCCCCGCUUGCGGGGUACACGAGUGGCGCACGGGUGAGUAACGCGUACACAAUCUACCUUUAGGUGGGGGAUAGCCUCGGGAAACUGAGAAUAAUACCCCAUAAUAUUGUCUGUCUGCAUAUUUGGACAAUUAAAGCUCCGGCGCCUAUAGAUGAGUGUGCGUCCCAUUAGCUUGUUGGUAAGGUAACGGCUUACCAAGGCGACGAUGGGUAGGGGGCGUGAGAGCGCGGCCCCCCACACGGGUACUGAGACACGGACCCGACUCCUACGGGAGGCAGCAGUAAGGAAUAUUGGACAAUGGGCGAAAGCCUGAUCCAGCCAUCCCGCGUGCAGGAUGACGGCCCUAUGGGUUGUAAACUGCUUUUAUAUGAGAAGAAACGCCUUCAUUUAUGAGGGCCUGACGGUAUCAUACGAAUAAGCACCGGCUAACUCCG